rnacentral:misc_RNA from 1 species
UUUCCGUAGGUGAACCUGCGGAAGGAUCAUUAUCGUACAAAAUGUGAGGGGCGUGCUGGGGCUGUCUCUGACCCAAAAGUCGUGCACGCCCGAGUGUGUCCUCUUGCAUAAGAAUCCAUCUCACCCUUUGUGCAUCACCGCGUGGGCACCCUUCGGGAUCAUCUCGGGGGGGGGCUCGCGUUUUCACACAAACCCCCCCUUUAAAAGUGUAGAAUGACCACAUUUAUGCAAUCAAUACAACUUUCAACAACGGAUCUCUUGGCUCUC